GCGAUAAUAGCUCAGUUGGGAGAGCGUCAGACUGAAGUGAGUCUCCACUUCUCUGGAAUCUGAAGGUCACCCGUUCAAUCCGGGUUUGUCGCA